ensembl:miRNA
GUGGUUUUUUUAGGUUUUGAUUUUUGUAAACGUUGGAUGAGAAAAUCAAAACCUAAA